AACUUUUAACAAUGGAUCUCUUGGUUCUGGCAUCGAUGAAGAACGCAGCGAAAUUCGAUAAGUAAUGCGAAUUGCAGAAUUCCAGUGAGUCAUCGAAUCUUUGAACGCACAUUGCGCCCUUUGGUAUUCCGAAGGGCAUGCCUGUUCGAGCGUCAUUAUCACCCCUCGGGCCCCGUGCUCGGUGUUGGACGUCCGGUUCGGUGACCGAACCCCUCCUAAAGACAAUGACGGCGGCCUGUGGUUCCCCCGGUACACUGAGCCUUUGGCACGUGCCGGACGAGGGCGACCAGGACCGGGUCCUCUCCUCUCAGCAGGAAACUUCUCAAGGUUGACCUCGGAUCAGGUAGGAAUACGCGCUGAACUUAAGCAUAUCAAUAAGCGGAGGCU
rnacentral:misc_RNA from 1 species